UACGGAGGGUCCAAGCGUUAUCCGGAUUUAUUGGGUUUAAAGGGUGCGUAGGCGGCACAGUAAGUUAGAGGUGAAAUCUCGCGGCUCAACCGCGAAACUGCCUCUGAUACUGCUGAGCUAGAGAUUAGAUGCUGUGGGCAGAAUGUGUAGUGUAGCGGUGAAAUGCUUAGAGAUUACACAGAACACCGAUUGCGAAGGCAGCUCACAAAUCUACUUCUGACGUUGAGGCACGAAAGCGUGGGUAGCAAACA
rnacentral:rRNA from 1 species